AUGCAUCAUGUUAACAUCUCUUCCUACAUCCCGUUCAAGCUGUCCCUGGACUCCGGGAACUACUCGAAGUGGAGGCAGCUGCUCUGGUUCGUCCUGUGCAAGUACCAGGCCGAGGACCACGUCCUGGAGGAGGCUAAACCGCUGCAUGAGAAUGAGUCGCCGGAGAGCACCGUGUUCCACCUGUGGCAGCAGCUGGAUAUCUUCUUCUGGGACAACGCCGCCGGCCGCGCCAUCCACAUUGGCGCCAACUUCCGCGCCACCGUCCAGGGCGACAUGACGAUCGCCCAGUACUGCCGUCGCCUCCAGCAACUCGCCGCGGCCAUGGCCGACGUGGGGGAACCGGUUACGGACCGUUCUCUCACGCUGCAGCUGAUCCGCGGACUGAGCCGCCGUUUCCACGUGAUGGCCACUCUCCUCCCCAUGCAGCAGCCCUUCCCGACCUUCCUGCAGGCUCGGUCGCGGCUGCUCCUGGAGGAGAUCGCCGUCCUUGAGCGGGAGCGCGCCACUGGAGCCACCGCUCUCUCCGUAGGCCACACAGGGUCCUCGUCUUACGGCGGCGGGACUCCCUCCGGCGGUGACCGCUAG
rnacentral:rRNA from 1 species